rfam:Picea glauca, whole genome shotgun sequence.
CCAAGGAUGUUUUCAUUAAUCAAGAAUGAAAGUUGGGGGCUCGAAGACGAUCAGAUACCGUCCUAGUCUCAACCAUAAACGAUGCCGACCAGGGAUCGGUGGAUGUUUCUCUAAGGACUCCGCCAUCACCUUAUGAAAAAUAAGAGUGUUUGGGUUACGGGGGGAGUAUGGUCACAAGGAUGAAACUUAAAGGAAUUGAUGGAAGGGCACCACCAGGAGUGGAGCCUGUGGCUUAAUUUGACUCAACACGGGAAAACUUACCAGGUCCAGACAUAGUAAGGAUUGACAGAUUGAGAGCUCCUUCUUGAUUCUAUGGGUGGUGGUGCAUGGACGUUCUUAGUUGGUGGAGUGAUUUGUCUAGUUAAUUCCAAUAAUGAACAAGACCUCAUCCUGCUAACUAGCUACGUGGAGGUUCCCCUUCGCGGCCAGCUUCUUAGGGGGACUAUGGUCAUUUAGGCCAUGGAAGUUUGAGGCAAUAACAGGUCUAUGAUGCCCUUAGAUGUUUUGAGCUACACGCACGCUACACUGAUGCAGUCGAUGAGUUUUUGUCCAUGGUUCGAGAGGAUCGGGAAAUCUUCUCAAAUUGCAUCAUGAUGGGGAUAGACCAUUGAAAUUAUUGGUCUUCAACGAGGAAUUCCUAGUAAGCGCGUGUCAUCAGCUCGUGUUGACUACGUCCUUUCCCUUUGUACACACUGCCCGUCACUCGUACUGAUUGAAUGAUCUGGUGAAGUGUUCGGAUCAUGUCAAUGAGGGUGGUUCACCGCCGAUGAUGUCGUGAGAAGUUCACUGAACCUUAUCAUUUAGAGGAAGGAGAAGUCGUAACAAGGCUACCGUAGGUGAACCUGCGGUAGUAUCAUUG